GCCCCACUUCCCGGCUCUCACUUUCCUCCCACCCGGAUCGCGGAGCUGGGGGCCAGGCGGGGAUGGGGCUGAGUAGCUCCGGCGGGGCCAGCCUGCCCCUCCUCUCCCAGGCUCGGCCCGACCUGCGCCCCGGAGCUGCCUGUCUCCAGCCGCGAGUGGGGGAGGCGCCCCGGAGCAGCCUACCAGCCGACGGUCUCGCGCUCCGAUUUCCUCACCGUAUGAAAUGAAAUUCCACAGGGGGAUUCGAAAGGAAAUGAGACCGGGACGCUCCGUGCUUCUCGGCCCGCCGCCCUUCCUGUCUCGGGGACACGGUUUCUAAAUAAGCCCACCCACCACCCGUCGAGUGGAGCUUUGCGCUAGUCCACCCUCUGGGCUUUCCAGUCGGGCGGUGAAACCCUCAGCAGGUGGAUGCCUAAACCAUUCAGUUGUUGUUUGACUAUGCCAAGCUACUGUGCCUCUCAGAGCCUCACGUUGGCCAUCUGUAAACUAAGGAAGUUCACGUCUACCCCACACAGUUGUUCUAAGAGUUAAAUGAGAUACCGCCUGAAAAUCAUUUAGCACAGGCCUGGCACCCCUGCCUCAGCUUGCCAGAAGCAACUGCCUCCUAGAACACUUCAAGAAGCCCCUUCUCUGUCAGAAGCUUUUCCUGUCAACAGCUUUUCUUUCCCAGCAUGGAACUCAUCACAGGUAUUUUCCAAAAAAAGAAAGCCAGGGGAAUCACAUUUCAGUCUGAAUGUGGAAAGGAAACAAAGACCACGACUUAGAGGAGAGGCAUCUGUGCAGAGAACUAUGACCUGGAGGGGAAGAGUAACAGAAGAAGAAAGGCCUGCAAGAGAGUCUCUUGUCAAAGUGAAAUAAGGAAUCACUGGCAGGCCCUGAAUCCAGAGCACUGAAUCCAGACAAUGUAUGGGCUGGCAAAGCAAAGGAAGAAAAUUUGGAAAUUGGCAACAACUGAAAACAGGCCAGUAGUUCUCAACCUUUAUUCCACAAUACGCAUAGUGAAGGGUGUUCACAUGAACAGAUCCUAGGGACAGUCCCAGGCCGAUGUGGAUUUGAGGGUGCUCGUUUAAACUCCAUUACUUUCUUUUCCACUAAAGCAUAUUAGAAUGCAAGUGAGUUCAAGGUUGCCACAGAGAUGACCUUGAAUCUGUUCUAAUUUAAAAAAAAUAAAUUACUCUUGUUUUUUUUUUCAAGUUGCCCCACUCUGGUCUGUACAGUUUUGGGGGUGAGGUCUGUAAAGGAUUUUAGCAGGUGAGCAACAUGAUUAUAUUUGGAGUUUAGAAUGGAAGCUAAAAUUUAGAAUGCUACUGCAGUACUUCAGCAAGAGCUGAUGAAUGUCCUGGUGGUAAGGAUGGAGGAGAAAGGAUUGAUUUGAGAGCCAUUUAAGAGUACAAUGAAUAGAAUGAUUGGAUAUGGGGCAGGGGGAGGGCAAUGAGAGAGAGGGAGAGGUUACAAAGUCAGUUUGCUUGAAUGACUGGGUAUAAAUAGUAACAGCACUAACAUAAAAAGGACCUCAGGAAAAGGGGCUGCUUAAGGGUGGGAGAAGGCACAUUUCACUUCAUAUACAAUAGGUUUGAGGUUCUCAUUUAGGAAAUCUGGACAUCAAGUAAGAUGUCAAAAAUACAGUCUUGGAGAUUAAGUUAUAAGUAUAAAUAUAAAUUUAACAGUAAUGAGAUUAUAAAUGAUAGUUGAAGUCAAAGAAAGUGAAAAGGAAAAAUAGAUGAAGGAUUACAUUUAGGAAUACUAACAUAUAAGGGCUGCAGAGAGGAAGAAGCCAGCAAAGAAAGCUGAAAGAUGUUGAGAUUUACUAGAAGAAUCAGGAGGGAAGAAAAUUCCAAAAAGAAGAGAGUUUUUGAUGAUGUCAAAUACCCUAGAGAGAGCAGGAGAAACAAUGAAAAAUAUUUAUUGGCUUGGCAAUGAAAAGAUCAUUGAAGGUCUUUAAAAGAAUAUCCAGAGUGUGUGGAACACGGGCACUGGACUGCAGUGGGCUCAGGUGUGAGCAGGAAGCAAGGACUGAAAGGGAGCAGGAAGGAGUUUGGUGAUGAAGGAAAUAAUAAGUCAUGAUAGCGAACAUUUACUGGGUGCUUAUUCUGUGUCAGGCACCGUGCCUGACAUAUAAUUUCUCAUUUCAUUUUAUGAACUACAUAUAAUUUUAGUUUCCUUUUUUACAUGAGAAACAUACUUUGGAAGUUAGGUGAGUUGCUGAUGAUCACUUAACUAAUAAGUUACAAAGACACAAUCCAGACCUAUAGCUGAUGGACCAAAGGCCAUGAUCUCAACCACUACCCUGGGGUCAGAGGAUACUCUUGUUUAUCUGGUUAUAAAAUUAUAAAUGGAAUGCUUCUUCUGAAACGGUGGAUUUCGUUUUUUAAUAAUGAAAACCACACCCACAAAAUAACAAGGAAUUAGUUUCCUUGAAUUGUCAUUCUGAUCUCAUGCCUGGAACCAACUGAUAAUGAACUACUCCAGUUCUUUCAACAUCAAAACUUUGCACUUGGCCAGCUAGCCGGUCAGUCAUUAACAUGUACUGAGCCUGGACUGUACAGGACAGAGAACUUGAAGUGGAAUUAAGACAUCAACCUCAACUUUUUGGACUUUCGGAAAAAGGCAGCUGGUGAAACAGAGAAGAGAUUUCCAGAUCCACAUUUCUGUUUCUGACUUGUGCUGGAGGCAGCCCAGAAAGGUAUUUUGGUUACGGUGUCCCUGCGGGGAUUCAAGUCCAUUUUUAAGUUGGUGUGGGAGUCUGUUUUACAGUGGGACUCUGAGUUAUUCCAGAAUCAAUCUGCAAAGACCUGAUUUCCCAAUUUUAUUAAGAAAGUGGACUUUCUGCGAUUCACUGGUCUCAUGGAUCACUCAUCAUGUGCCAGCUAUGUGCCAGAAGGGCUCCAAAGACAAACCUUUUCAUGGCAAGUGCAUCUCUAGGGCCCUCCACCUUCUUUCCUGCCAACAGAUCUCAGAAAACUGGUGAGUUGACCAAUCCAAAAGUUUCUUUGUUCUGUUUCUGCUAUGCUGGGUCCUUGCUGCUCCUGCACAGACUACUGGGCAUGUCUCCUGCUGAGGUUAUACUGUUGCUGGUCCAGGUCCUGCCCUGGCUGCAUGAUGCACCAAGGUUUGCCUUCAAGGUUCAGCUCCUCAGCUCACUUAAUACAUGCUGAGUGUGUUCCGCCAUGGUUUCUUCAUAGCAUCUUCAGGCAGAAAGCUCUGCUAGGUCCCGCCCUCCAAAGACAGCCCUUCUCUUAGGGCAGGUGCCUCUCUGGGGCCCUUCAUCUUCUUUGCUGCCAGCAGAUCUCAGUAACCACCAUCCCAAGCCAUUUGAGAUCCAAUAUUCUUGAACUUCAAAGAGAAAAAGUCAGAGUCCCUUUCCUUUCCUCUCCCUAAGGCUGUCUGCUUGCACAGUUCCAGGGACACCAUCCAUACUGUAUUCAAAAGGAAGGCUGUCCCUCCACACCUAGCUCCAAAGAGUCUCUAUAUCUAACACAAUAGAUCACCAUAUAAAUGGUGUCCCCUGGAGUUGUGCAACUCAGCGCUAACUCUCUUCUCUAACCCCAGCUUCAGUUUUCCAUCCAAAGGGAAUGGGAAAGAACGGAUAGUAAUAUUCCCUUCCUCCAAGGCAGUAAGUCUCUUGUAGUUGCAUAAUUAAGAAGGGUCACUCAAAGAAGGAUCCCUUGCAAAACGAAGAUCAGCAUCAAGGUGAGUUUCUGAAGC